ensembl:lncRNA
GAGUUAAAUAGUGCAGUGAGUAAUAAUGCAGUCAUUUACAUAUCCCAUAAGUGUCUUCCUCUUUUAUAUAUCAUUGAUGGAGGACACUCCUUCAAGCGAAACAGGUUUUAGUUGGAAGAACAGUUUUUCAAAAGCUCCCAGACAGAGCAUAUACAGCCUUAUUUGACUCGGGAAUAGGACAAUGAACAACAUUUGGCACAGUAAGAAACUUACUCAAGGAUUCAUGUCAACAAGACUUUAAGUUUGGAAAAGAGAACCACCCCAAGACCCAGAGUGAGGAACAGCAUGAGAAGAAUCAAGAUGCCCCCCUCUGAGGAUCAGAAUCAUAACAAUUGCCAUCCUCACCAACCUCUAACGAUCCCACAACAAUGUAAAGAAGACCAAUCUGGCACCAAGACAGAGGUGUAUUAUGAAAUGGAACAUUACAGCCUUAAUUCAGAACAACCACAUGGAAUCAACUGUGCCUGUAAAUAGCACGGUGGUCCCAUUUCAGGCUGGGGUGGCGGGUGUGGAUACACAUCCUCAUCUAGGCUUCAUCUCAAUAGGAUCAUCUCCAGACUGUGUUCAGGCAGCUCUACCCCAUACCGAUGACUCUUCCUCACAGCAUUCACCUCAACACCAGCUUCUUCAAUGAUGGUAGGGUUUCACGAUAGUGAGGGAACAAAAGCACAACCAUACCUUCAAUCAAGCAAGGUAUCUAGUUAUAGCUCAAACAGAAGGGAGGCACACAGAGCAGCAACAUUAGUAAACAUAUUUAUAUUACAUAACGUACACAAGAAUCCCCAAGUGUGAAUUCACAGCCACCGAUAAAUGAAAUGAUACCAUGCAGAAAGCACACCAUCAUUUUACGACUGAUCUAUCAUAGAUCUAAAACUGCGAUUAAACUGUGGUGGUGUUUACCAAAUGAGUCACUCUCAGUCAGAUAUAAUCAUCUGUCAUUUCAUGAGUGCUUCUAACCUGUUCUGUCCUGUUGUUGCAGCAGUCAUAACAUCAGGUAUGAAAAGCUCCAGUAGCCUUGGAAGAAGAGAUUAAGUGAAGGAAGAGGCUUCUUUUGAAAACAUUUCUGCUGCUAUUUUCUGCUGCUUUUAAGAUGUAUGUAUGUAUGUAUGUAUGUAUGUGUGUGUGUGUGUGUUUGUGUGUGUGUGUGUAUAUAAGCAUGUGUGUGUGUGUGUAUGUAUGUGUGUGUGUGUGUGUGUGUGUGUGUAUAAGCAUGUGUGUGUGUGUGUGUAUGUGUGUAUGUGUGUGUGUGUGUGGUAGCUAGGAAAUGUAUGUUUUUGUAUUUAAGUAAAUAUUUGCUAUUACUUAUGCAGUUAGAUGUCCUUUUUAUGUUCCAAUCAAAAUCAUAAAAACACCAAGAGUGCUUUGGUGAUUCCACUCUGGUUGCAGAUAAUAUUUUUUUCUGAUAGAUUAGUUAGCCUUCAAAAUUCUUUACAUAUGAGCAUGAACUAGCCAUAAUAUUAUCGACUUGAUCACACUGACAGCAUCAUUGUGCAUUGUCUAGAUAUGUGUGCAACAAAAGUUCACCUUCUGCUACCAUUUUUGUCAAGCUGUCUACACAUACAGUUUGACUCAUACGUUUGAUAAAUCCAACGUUUGCACCACACAGAACGCACUGCAACUGCCUCUGCAACGCAAUGCUGUAAGUCAAACGCAGCGUCCCAUUGGAAAUGAAUGUACUUCUGGUGUACUAAAACUCAAUGAAGCUGUUGGUGUGACUGAGGCAUUUUAAGUUGGAUUUAUCGAAGACAUGCGUCAAACUGUAUGCAUAGAGGGCUUGACAGAAAGGGUAGCAGAAGGUAAAUGUUGAAGUUUUGUAGCACACAUUUCAAGAUGAUGCUGCGUACCAUUUUGCGCAAUAACACUGCAGGUGUGAUCAAGGCAUUAUCCAUCGAACUAGCUUACGGCUCAGCUCGUCUCACUACUUUAGCUAAUUAACAUAGAUACAUAGCUAGCUAAUGUUAGCUACCUGGGUCAAUCUUACAAUUUUCUGUCCCCAGGAAAUAUCAGUUCUUAUUUAGUGUAAAAUGUGGAUUCCAAAAAGUCAUUAAAUAUAAGGUCAUGUGUCCUUUACCUUAAAAACACCAAAAUGUGGAUCCUGAAAGGGAAUUUUAUGCAUUUUAAACACUUUUUGUCAGUGGAUGUAGGCAUUUUUUGGAAUGUCCUCAGGUGUUCUUUAUCAACCACGACAAGAAAUAUAAGCCAUAAAAUAAUAGAAUCUUUAAAAUAUUUCUUGACUAUUUCAUAGUCCUAGUUAAAGUAUUUUGUUUUACUUUAGAAGGUGCCUAUUCUGCUUAAUGGACCCUGUAUCAUCUGAUGUGUCUCCAGUAUGAUUAUCUAUACACAUGGUUUUAUCAAGGCUUCAUGCCCAAAAUGCAGUAAGCUCCACUGAAAAAUGGAGGGUGGUACAUCUAGGCAUAGUAGUAACGAAUUCUAUGAGACUCGGCAUUACUAUAAAGUAUAAAGGUACCUGUAUCCGGCUGUUAAGGGAGCUCCAAAUUACGUAAGGCCUGGCCAUUUGUUUGUUCUUGCACAAUGUUUUACCAAACACACAUCUGCAUACACAC